rnacentral:rRNA from 1 species
AACGAACGCUGGCGGCAUGCCUAACACAUGCAAGUCGAACGAGACCUUCGGGUCUAGUGGCGCACGGGUGCGUAACGCGUGGGAACCUGCCCUUAGGUUCGGAAUAACUCCCCGAAAGGGGUGCUAAUACCGGAUAAUGUCUUCGGACCAAAGAUUUAUCGCCUUUGGAUGGGCCCGCGUUGGAUUAGCUAGUUGGUAGGGUAAAAGCCUACCAAGGCGACGAUCCAUAGCUGGUCUGAGAGGAUGAUCAGCCACACUGGGACUGAGACACGGCCCAGACUCCUACGGGAGGCAGGAGUGGGGAAUAUUGGAAAAUGGGCGAAAGGCUGAUGCAGCAAUGCCGCGUGAGUGAUGAAGGCCUUAGGGUUGUAAAGCUCUUUUACCCGGGAUGAUAAUGACAGUACCGGGAGAAUAAGCACCGGCUAACUCCGUG